AACGAGCCAAAACUGAGGAAUGU
rnacentral:siRNA from 1 species